CAGAUGGUGAUACCUUCUUCAGGAAGAUUGAGGAAAUACCAUCAGGCAGGAAAUGGAGGAGGAAGAAGUAGUUAAUCAUUCCAAAAUUUCGAACAGGAAAAUGAGAGAAGUCUCCAUCUAAUUUGGCAUGCAAGUGGCAAUAGAGUGGAGGCUAAUUCUGCUCACUGUAGAUUGUCAGAGAUGCAAAGGUCUCUUGCUGUUAACAUGAAGAUGCAAGAACUUAGGGAGAAAGCACCAGUACCUGAACAGAGAACAUUGUCAAUAUGAAUAACCAUCCUAAACCAUCUAAAGGCCUAAACACACUAGAGGAAGGAAAAUGCAGAGACAAAGAGCAGAGAUCAUAGUGAGAAGAAGGGCGUAUUUGUCAUCUAAAAGUGGCUAUAUUGCUUUACCGGGACAGUGGAAUUUUGAUUCUGGAUUUUUCUGGCAAUUACACUACUAUACACUCCCUAGAGGGAGAGGGCUAUUUUAUAAGGAUGAUGCUUCAACUAUUUCAAAGGAAACACUAGAAGCUUGCUCUAGACAUGAUUGAUGAUAGUCUUUCAAGAAGUAACCCAAACUAUCAGUGAGAAAGACAAAAGUGUGUGACUUUUCUCUAGCUUCUGUAGCUGGACCAGCAAUUACUUGACAGGAUGCAUUAUUUUAAGUUGUUCAUUUUCAUACAGAAAAGAAGGUUACAAUUUUUGGCUGUUUCCACAUAAAGGAAGUGAAAUGGGCAUUUGAAAAUUUGUAAAAUAAAAUAGGGAUUUUCUGUUGGGAAAUGGAGGUUAAAUCGAAGGUUGAGUGACCAUUUUCUUCAAUACUGAUAAACUGAUAGCAUUUUCUUGUGUGGACAUAGUUUGUGUUCUACCUACUAGCAGUCUGUACAUAUGCUUCUUCAAAAUAGCAUGAUAACAUUUCUUGUAUUUUCCUUGGACAAUACUUAAUAUAGUGCUGAAAAGAAAUUUUCAUCAAAUAAAAGCUUUUGCAGAUGCUGCUUCUAAAAAUA